UAAACUACGAUUAGAUACCCUAUUAUUCUAAAAGUUAAUAUAUAACCAGAGUAGUAAUAGUUAUGUUCUUGAAACUUAAAGAAUUUGGCGGUGUUUUAGUCCAUUCAGAGGAAUUUGUCCCGUAAUCGAUAGUCCACGUUUACUUAACUUGGGUUCGUUCACAGCUUGUAUACCGCCGUCAUAAGAGUAAUUUUUGAGAAUAUUCUCAAUCCUCUGGGUUAAGAGAUAUGUCAGGUCAAGGUGCAGCCCAUGCCCAAGGGGAGGUGAAUUACAAUAAAUUUAUUUAUACGGAUGCUGGGAUGUAAAUCAAGUGGAAGGUGGAUUUGAGUGUAAUAAAUCUUAAGAAAGGCUUAUGAAACUUGGCUCUAAAACAAGCACACAUCGCCCGUCGCUCUUA
rnacentral:rRNA from 1 species